GAGGAAGAUCAGAGCCACACUGUCAUUUCGGGCAUGCAUGAUUUCAUGUAUUAUAAAUUUCUGAUCUCUAACUCCUAUUUGGAGAAUGAAAAAGCCUGCUGUACGCUUCUUCAAUGUCUUAUCAUGUUGCUGCUAAAACUCCAUGCGUGCAAUGCAUGCCUAAUGAGACCUUCAUGUUCAUUAUUCAUAUCUGACCUUUACUGAAAAGAAAACUGGGAAUGGAAUCAAUGGCAUGUUUCAUGAACAUUUUCCCAAACAACAUUGAAG